rnacentral:rRNA from 1 species
AUGCAGCACCUCCGGGCCACCCUGGCGACAUCACGCUCAAGGCCGUCUUUGAGGACAUCGGCAAGUUCUACCUCAUCAUGGAGCUCUGCAACGGCGGCCGCUUGCUGGACGAGAUGGCCAGAUAUGUCUACCUUCUCUGAGUUGCAAGCCACAUUUGUGAUCAAGGAUCUCAUGUCAGUGGUGAAGUACUGCCACCAAAUGGGCGUCAUCCACAGGGACAUUAAGCCGGAAUAUAUUUUGUUCACCGGAACUCCGCCUAUGUCUUCUAGGCAUAGCCGGUCCCAAGCCCGGGUAAAGGAGGAGGGUUGUGAUAGGCUUGGCGAGCCAACGUAA